UAAAACAAUCAUAUGUGCCGCAGAUGUGCGCCACUGCAGUAUAUGAAUUUGAUGGGCAGGUACGAUUUCGAAAUCCACGUGACAUCGUAUUAUACGAGCUGUUUAAGUUGAACGACAAUGACGGAUGGACUAUAUAUUAAACAUAUAUAAUAAUAAUGAUAAUAAUAUGCCUUCGAUAUAGUAAUAAUAUCGUCGGUAUAACGGAGCACAGUCAUGGCAUCAACGCGGUGGGAGGGUCGAAAAAUAUAAAUUUUGAUCGACGACGUGCGUCGGACAAUCGCGAUGAACGGGGUUUCCGCGAUAAGAAAUCGCCGGGGAAAAGAUUAAAUUUCAAU